UCGCACUGUUAGUUUCUGCUGUAUAGCAAAGUGAUUCUGUUACAUAUUUACAUAUAUGUGUGUAAAUAUGUAACAGAAUAUUCUGUUACAUUAUGGUUUAUCUUGGAAUAUUGAAUAUAGUUCACUCUGCUAUACAGUAUGGUUAACGAAUCCGACUAGGAACCAUGAGGUUGCGGGUUCGAUCCCUGCCCUUGCUCAGUGGGUUAACGAUCCGGCGUUGCCGUGAGCUGUGGUGUAGGUUGCAGAUGCGGCUCAGAUCCCGAGUUGCUGUGGCUCUGGCAUAGGCUGGCAGCUACAGCUCCGAUUCGACCCCUAGCCUGGGAACCUCCAUAUGCUGCGGGAGCGGCCCAAGAAAUAGCAAAAGACAAAAAAUAAAUAAAUAAAUAAAAAUCUAGAAAGGGGUAACAUUCCAAGAGGAUACAUAACAUACUUCAGUUCUUUAAAACCUGAAGUUUUCCACAAAUAUUUCAUAAUUUUUACAUAUUUUGGGGGGUGGGUGAAAAUUUAGCCCCCCUUAAAAAAACCUCUUAGCAUAUUUAGGUAUUGGUUGUCAGUGGUUUACUUUUCCAGUAAAGUAAAACCUCUUUAUGAAAAAUCUUGCCUCUAUUUGUCUCCUGAGGGAAUUAUUACUACUACCACUAAUAAUAUGAAAAAGAAGAAUAGAUGAAGCUUUUUGAGUUUUUAUUAUGUGCCAAAUCCUAAGUUCUUACACAUAAUAACCCACACAACCACUCUUUUAGAUAGCUUUCUAUUUUCAUCAUUUUACAAGUAAGAAACUAAAGUACAUAAAAAUAAAGUAACUUGACUUUUUUUUUUAACUUAAGAUCACACUGUUAGUAAAUGGUGGAGCCAAGAUUCCAGAUUGGUAGUCUGGCUCCAGAGUUGAGUGCCUUAAGGACUAUGCUAUACCACCUUUCAGAUAUCCAAGCUAUUUGUCUAUACGAUCUAUCUGUAAAUAGAAAUUUCUUUUAUCAAGUAUUUCUUUUACUAAUGUAAUGCUGUUUGU
rnacentral:lncRNA from 1 species